GUCUGCUUGAAACAAAAAGCAGUCUGGCCUGCCCACUGAUAUUUUUUUAAAGGCCGCGGUACCCUGACCGUGCGAAGGUAGCAUAAUAAUUAGUCUUUUAAUUGAAGACUGGAAUGAACGGUCGGACAAAAAGCACCCUGUCUCAGUUUCAGAAAUCGAAAUUAACUUUUAAGUGAAAAGGCUUAAAUACUCUAAAAGGACGAUAAGACCCUAUAAAACUUUAUACAAAAACUACUAGCUUCCUAUUUAUUUGUUUAAAGUCAGCUAGUAGUCCAUGUAUUGCGUUGGGGAGACGAGAGUAUAACAAAUAACUGCUCUUUUUUCAAAACAAUUAUAUUUGAUUGUAACGACCCUUUAAUUAAGAUUUGAAGAUAAAGUUACUUUAGGGAUAACAGCGUUAUUUUUUUUGAGAGUCCAUAUCGACAAAAAAGUUUGCGACCUCGAUGUUGAAUUAAAAUAACCCUAUAGUGCAGAAAUUAUAGAGGUAGGUCUGUUCGACCUUUAAAAUUUUACAUGAUUUGAGUUCAGACCGGCGUGAG
rnacentral:rRNA from 1 species